UAACACAUGCAAGUCGAGGGGCAGCAUGGUCUUAGCUUGCUAAGGCCGAUGGCGACCGGCGCACGGGUGAGUAACACGUAUCCAACCUGCCGUCUACUCUUGGACAGCCUUCUGAAAGGAAGAUUAAUACAAGAUGGCAUCAUGAGUCCGCAUGUUCACAUGAUUAAAGGUAUUCCGGUAGACGAUGGGGAUGCGUUCCAUUAGAUAGUAGGCGGGGUAACGGCCCACCUAGUCUUCGAUGGAUAGGGGUUCUGAGAGGAAGGUCCCCCACAUUGGAACUGAGACACGGUCCAAACUCCUACGGGAGGCAGCAGUGAGGAAUAUUGGUCAAUGGGCGAGAGCCUGAACCAGCCAAGUAGCGUGAAGGAUGACUGCCCUAUGGGUUGUAAACUUCUUUUAUAAAGGAAUAAAGUCGGGUAUGCAUACCCGUUUGCAUGUACUUUAUGAAUAAGGAUCGGCUAACUCCGUGCCAGCAGCCGCGGUAAUACGGAGGAUCCGAGCGUUAUCCGGAUUUAUUGGGUUUAAAGGGAGCGUAGAUGGAUGUUUAAGUCAGUUGUGAAAGUUUGCGGCUCAACCGUAAAAUUGCAGUUGAUACUGGAUAUCUUGAGUGCAGUUGAGGCAGGCGGAAUUCGUGGUGUAGCGGUGAAAUGCUUAGAUAUCACGAAGAACUCCGAUUGCGAAGGCAGCCUGCUAAGCUGCAACUGACAUUGAGGCUCGAAAGUGUGGGUAUCAAACAGGAUUAGAUACCCUGGUAGUCCACACGGUAAACGAUGAAUACUCGCUGUUUGCGAUAUACGGCAAGCGGCCAAGCGAAAGCGUUAAGUAUUCCACCUGGGGAGUACGCCGGCAACGGUGAAACUCAAAGGAAUUGACGGGGGCCCGCACAAGCGGAGGAACAUGUGGUUUAAUUCGAUGAUACGCGAGGAACCUUACCCGGGCUUAAAUUGCAGAUGAAUUACGGUGAAAGCCGUAAGCCGCAAGGCAUCUGUGAAGGUGCUGCAUGGUUGUCGUCAGCUCGUGCCGUGAGGUGUCGGCUUAAGUGCCAUAACGAGCGCAACCCUUGUUGUCAGUUACUAACAGGUUCCGCUGAGGACUCUGACAAGACUGCCAUCGUAAGAUGUGAGGAAGGUGGGGAUGACGUCAAAUCAGCACGGCCCUUACGUCCGGGGCUACACACGUGUUACAAUGGGGGGUACAGAGGGCCGCUACCACGCGAGUGGAUGCCAAUCCCCAAAACCUCUCUCAGUUCGGACUGGAGUCUGCAACCCGACUCCACGAAGCUGGAUUCGCUAGUAAUCGCGCAUCAGCCACGGCGCGGUGAAUACGUUCCCGGGCCUUGUACACACCGCCCGUCAAGCCAUGGGAGCCGGGGGUACCUGAAGUGCGUAACCGCGAGGAGCGCCCUAGGGUAAAACUGGUGACUGGGGCUAAGUCGUA
rnacentral:rRNA from 1 species